rnacentral:rRNA from 1 species
UGCUGUGAGCUCGAUGAGUAGGGCGGGACACGUGGUAUCCUGUCUGAAUAUGGGGGGACCAUCCUCCAAGGCUAAAUACUCCUGACUGACCGAUAGUGAACCAGUACCGUGAGGGAAAGGCGAAAAGAACCCCGGCGAGGGGAGUGAAAAAGAACCUGAAACCGUGUACGUACAAGCAGUGGGAGCCCCACCACUAAGCCAGUGGUGAACUCCACAUACGCAUCCUUUGCUGAGGAUGCGGUUAACGGAGCGAAAGCGACGUUCAACCGCAAAAGAAGCAGAGGGGGCUUAGUGGUGGGGUGACUGCGUACCUUUUGUAUAAUGGGUCAGCGACUUAUAUUCUGUAGCAAGGUUAACCGAAUAGGGGAGCCGGAGGGAAACCGAGUCUUAAUUGGGCGUUAAGUUGCAGGGUAUAGACCCGAAACCCGGUGAUCUAGCCAUGGGCAGGUUGAAGGUUGGGUAACACUAACUGGAGGACCGAACCGACUAAUGUUGAAAAAUUAGCGGAUGACCUGUGGCUGGGGGUGAAA